rnacentral:tRNA from 1 species
GUUUAGCUCAGUUGGUAGAGCGCCUGCUUUGCAAGCAGGAUGUCAGCGGUUCGAGUCCGCUAAC